AACACGCUUCCGUUUCCGAGGAGACGGAAGCGUGUCUUCCUGUUUGGCAGAAGGAGGAAGCAAGAUGUGUGAAAUCUCACAUGUGCUUGUUGUUAUGGGUGACAUGCAGUAAUAUUUCUGUAGUGGUGUGUCCAUGCCUGUCAAAGCCAGCGUCUUCCUCUUCUGUUUAGUUUGGAUAACUAUGGCCCAGCUCUUGGCACAAGAAGAAAAAGAAAAAACGACUGCACUAAAAGAUUUACUGUCCAGGAUAGAUUUAGACGAGCUGAUGAAAAAAGACGAACCUCCACUAAACUUUCCUGAAACUCUGGAUGAGUUUGAGUAUGCCUUCAAUGAGCAUGGUCAGUUGAGACACAUACACACAGGGGAGCCAUUUGUCUUCAACUAUAAAGAGGACCUGCAUAGAUGGAACCAGAAAAGAUAUGAAGCGCUGGGAGAGGUAAUGUUGAUGAUGAUAAUAUUUUAAACAG